rnacentral:rRNA from 1 species
GAUGAACGCUGGCGGCGUGCCUAAUACAUGCAAGUCGAGCGAACAGACGAGGAGCUUGCUCCUUUGACGUUAGCGGAGGACGGGUGAGUAACACGUAGGUAACCUACCUAUAAGUCUGGGAUAACUACGGGAAACCGGCGCUAAUCCCGUAUGAUAUUUCGAACCGCAUGGUUCGAUAGUGAAAGAUGGCUUUGCUAUCACUUAUAGAUGGUCCUGCGCCGUAUUAGCUAGUUGGUAGGGUAACGGGUUACCAAGGCAACGAUACGUAGCCGACGUGAGAGAGUGAUCGGCCACACGGGAACGGGGACGCGGUCCAUAGGCCUACGAGACGCAGCAGUAGGGAAUCUGCCGCAAUAGGCGAAAGCCUUACGGAGCAACGCCGCGUGAGUGAUGAAGGUCUUCGGAGCGGAAAACUGGGUUACUAGGGAUGAACAAACUUGGAAUGAACUGAGCACGGCGUGACGGUACCUGAUCAGAAAGCCACGGCUAACUACGUG